rnacentral:rRNA from 1 species
UACGUUAGGGGGCAAGCGUUGUCCGGAAUCAUUGGGCGUAAAGAGCGCGUAGGCGGCCCAGUAAGUCCGCUCUGAAAGUCAGGGGGCUCAACCCCUGAAUGCGGGUGGAUACUGCUGGGCUAGAGUCCGGAAGAGGCGAGUGGAAUUCCUGGUGUAGCGGUGAAAUGCGCAGAUAUCAGGAGGAACACCGAUGGCGAAGGCAGCUCGCUGGGACGUUACUGACGCGUGAGAACACGAAGGCC